GCCCGCUUAGCAAAGUGGUAACGCGUUGCACUUGUACCCUUGAAAGUCAUGCAAAGAUCGCUCGUUCGAUUCGGGCAGUGGGCA
rnacentral:tRNA from 1 species